AUUUUUUCUUCUCCCUUAACCUGAUCAAAUAUCAACAAUAGCUUUCAACAAAAACUGCUAGUCUGCAACUCCAAAAACAAUUAACAACAAUAAUAAUUUCAGCAAAACAACAACUUAGCGAUAUCAAGAACAACAACAGCCGCGUGACCCGACACCCAUCGAUCAGCCCGAUUUCGACCCGAAUUCGUCCAGCUUCAGUCAACGCGUACAACGGCUAAUACCAACGACAAACCCUCCAAAUCGUGGAAAAUCUCUCUUUUCAUCUUAUCUCUGCAAUUUUGCAGAGCUAGAGCCAUUGUUGUGGACUUUUGGCUCAAAAUUGUGUCUUCUAUUUUAAAAUUCAAUGCAAAUCAGAAGGGGUCAUGAAUUCGAACCCAAAUUUCAGGGGAUAUAUUUCUCCAUUUUAAUGAUGAAAAAUCAGUCUUCCCCUAUGAUUAGAGAUUGAGGGGAAGAAGAAAAGGAGGGGGGAAAAAGAAUUGGAGAAGAAAACGGAUUCAAAAACUCGAUCCCGAUAAAAAUUUGAACUCCUACGGAUCGGAGUCGAAAAUCCGAUGGUGGAAGCUUCGUCGUGGUAGGCUCUUUUGUCCCGAUUUGCUGCCCCUAAAAAGGUAAACACCUUUCUCUUUAAAUUUUCUUUUUCGUCAUAAUUAUCUCUUCAUUAGCAUCAUAGCGAUGACGUUGUUGGGACUGUUUGCUGUAGACGCCCUGAAGGCGAUAGGAUUUUCUUGCUUGUUGUAUAAUUUUUGUUGGUUGAGCUUCGCAUAAUUCAUAAUAUGCAAAAAAAUGGGCCUAGAAAGCAUGAUAUUAGGACUUCACCGUUAUCCUGAAACAUGAAGGUAUGAUAGCAAGUUUACUUAGUUGAGUCUAUGAAUUUAUAAUCGGUGAGUCUAUGAAUUUGUAAUUGAAAAAAUAUUAUCCUGCUAUUAUCUAAGAUUGAUAUCUUCCAUACUAUAUAGUUAGUCUCCUUUGUUGGUGUAAUCUACCUUUAAUAAGAAAAAUAGCUUCUUUUCUUUUAAUCUGCCAAAACAACUUUUUUUUUUUAAAAAUCUGCCAGUAGCCCAACAUAUAGGCAUAUUAAUCUCUGUUUCUUGUAAACUACAAAUGGUUGCCUUGCAAAUUAUGUGUUAGCAUAUUGAAUUAUCAGAAUCUUUGCUUAUGUUGGCUUGAAUUCAAGUGUAAACAUAUUAUGGUGUUUUAAGGUUCCACUCUUUGGUUUACUUGUUUUCUUGUCCAUUCAUAUGGUGUCUUGAUGAACAUAGGCUAUAUUAGACAUUAAUUAUUCAGUGUGAAGUUGAAUCGACUCAUCAAAUGAUUAUAUUGACAUCUCGAUCUUUGAAAAUAUGUGUUCAACUUUUUUUGUUUGGUUUUAAUCCUUUUCACAUACUAAUCUUUACCCUUUUAUAUGCAUGAACUCCCCCAUUGAGUCCCCCGGACUCCCAUCACUUGCAUUCCGUUGGGUUAAAUCUAACUUGCAUCGAGUCAAGAUCCGUACCAAGUCCAAAGUGGGACUAAUAAAUGAAGCAAAACGGACCAAUACCAAAGCUGUAUAUGCAGAUAUACAAUAGUAUACGGAGGAUAUAUGGUUGAAAGUUAGAGAGGAAAACUAGUGUGCAGGUGGAAAACCAAAAUAUGUAAAUGUAUAACUUAUGUACGAUCAUAUAUAUACCGUAUAUAUACGAAAAAUGCAAGGAAAAGGGCUGGUAUACUUUUGGUAUACAAUGCUGGAAAAUGGACCUAAAGUCCAUAAGAUUAAAAGCCCAAAGGUCGGCAAGCUAUUAAUGGGCUGAAAGGGGCCCAACUCCAACUCUUUAUUUUUAUUCUUUUAUCAAAAAGACACCUAAACUAUACUUUUGAUCUAUUACUUCACGAAUUUAAUCUUAACCAUUGUAAAUACACCAAUUUGACUAAAAAUUUGACUCUGCAUGUACACGCACCUGAAGCGCGUGAAUGGAAAAAAAUAUUGAACUAACAAAUUAAAAUGUGCCACGUGCAAUAAAAAGGACCCACUUUUUUAAUUUUGUAUUUAGUUUUUUUCUUCUUCAUUUUCCAUUUUUUUCAUAUGUUUCUUCUUACUUCUUGUUUUUCUUCUUCUUCUCCAUUAAUCUCCAUUAAUGGUGUCACUCGAUUUUUUUCCCUAUUUUCUCCUUUCGAUUUUUGUGCGUGUAGUGCCGGUUUGAAUUUGUGGAAUGUAAUUAAGUGGGACACUUAAAUGAUGAUUGAAAGUUUAAGCAAAUAGUAGUAUUUAUGAUUUGACUAAGACUAAGAAAUAUUAUUUCAAAUAGUGAUGAGUAAUGUGGAUAAGAAACAAUAAUUCUCUAUAAUAAUUGACAUCAAUUUGUGUGGGAAAGAAAAUCCAUCCACUAUUGAAAAUUACUCUAUGACAACGAACUUUUUUGCAACGAUUAUCAAAGCAUUGCUAUAAAAAUAAUAGUUCUAUUAACUGCAAUUUAGCUCUAUAACUGUCACUAUUGAAUACUAAUACUAACCGUUUCAAUAGGUAGAUGUAUAGCAACGUUUAUUGAAAUCUUUGUGAUAAAAUCAUCUAUGGCAACACCUUCAUGAGCAAAAAAACUUAUUGCAUACUCUUUAAAUUCUCUUUACAAAAUUUUUCUAGUUCGCCUAAAAAAACUAUUUUAAUAAAAACCUCUCUCUUAAACCCAUUCUCGAUUUUGCGGAUAAUAAACCAUAUUGCGAUUUUGUGGGUGGUACCUAUCAGAUUAUUUUUCGAUGGUAAAAAUCAGUCUCACUCGCCGGCCACCGUGGUCUUCUCGGCGAACCGUGGUCUUCUCGGCGACUUCAAUUUCAGACCAACAUUUGAAGACUGUGUUUUGUGGUGGAAAGUCAAUUCAAAUUUCGGCUCUCAAUUUGUGUUGAAAAGUCAGAUCGAAUUUUCACUUCAAUUGUUUUAAUUUGGAAAUUUUAAGAAUCUUCAUGUUGACAUCAGUCUUAGAUAACUAUCUCCUUUGGUUUGUGUUUCUCGAUACGCUUUUAAGUGUUUUGAUCCUGUAGUUUAAUAUUCAUUAGAUUACCCUUUUACUAUAAGAUGACAGUCUUGCCAGGUUGACCUUAUUAGGGAAGGCGGACAUAGGUAUUUCAUUAGAUUUCUUGACAGCGGUGAGGCUUAUCUAGAGCAAAGGGCAAUGGCUUUACUUGUCUUGGUAGUAAUUGUUGAUGGUCAGAGACGGGGUUAGGAGGCGUGUAUUGAUGCAAGGAUUAUUAAUGUCUGCUUGAAGCAUAUUCAACCAUCAAUCUGUAAUGAUGCCCAAACAGAACCCGUGUUUCUUCAAAGGCUGUGCCUUUGUCUGGGAAAGCUCUGGAAGGAUUUCAAGGAGGCUCAAGUACUAGGUUUUCAGGCUGAUGCGCCAGUAAUAUUUGGUCCUCUACUUUAUUAAUCGCAGCCUGAGGGAUGACAUUGGAAAGGAGGAAGAUUAUGAUGAAGAGGAAAAAAUAAGGGGAGAAUUCAUUAUAAGGAGACUUUUAAGUGCCGUUUUUGAUGCAUGCCCCUUGGUACCAGCUGAGUUGCUGUUGGUGUCCAAAAUGAAGGAGAUGAAGAAAGAAGUGAUGAAGAAAUUGACCUUACUUGAGAAGAUUUUUGAAUUGUUGAUAGAUGCUUUAAUAUCUAUUUUUUUGAUAUUGAAUUUUGUGAAAUUCAUCGCCACUCGAAUUUGAUACUAUGUAGAAAAUCUAAUGAUUAUUUGACUUUAACAUUUUCCUUUUGGGUUUAGAUUACUAGUUUGUUGCAUAUUUUAAUUUGGAUUAUAAUUAAUGAAAAAUUUUGUUGUGAUGUGUGUA